ACACCCCAGCUCAGGUCUCAGACCCAGGCAGUGGAGACCCCCACACCCCCCAGCUCAGGUCUCAGGCCCAGGCUGCAGGCAGUGGAGACCCCCACACACCCCAGCUCAGGUCUCAGACCCAGGCAGUGGAGACCCCCACACCCCCCAGCUCAGGUCUCAGGCCCAGGCUACAGGCAGUGGAGACCCCACACACCCCAGCUCAGGUCUCAGGCCCAGGGAGUGGAGACCCCCACACACCCCAGCUCAGGUCUCAGGCCCAGGCUGCAGGCAGUGGACACCCCCACACACCCCAGCUCAGGUCUCAGACCCAGGCUGCAGGCAGUGGAGACCCCCACACAUCCCAGCUCAGGUCUCAGGCCCAGGCUGUAGGCAGUGGAGACCCCCACACACCCCAGCUCAGGCCCAGGUGUGGAGACACCCACACACCCCAGCUCAGGUCUCAGGCCCAGGCAGUGGAGACCCCCACACACCCCAGCUCAGGUCUCAGGCCCAGGCAGUAGAGACCCCCACACACCCCAGCUCAGGCCUCAGACCCAAGCUGCAGGCAGU